GACGUCGAUAUUCGACGUCAUAAACACGAUCUUUGAUGUUUAUGACGUCGAUAUUCGACGUCAUAAACCCGUUCAACUUUGGUGUUUAUGACGUCGAUAUUCGACGUCAUAAACCCGUUCAACUUUGGUGGGUGACUUUGGUUGGAAAAUGAUAAAGUUUUUUUAUAAAAUUUGGUGAUAUGUCGACGUGAUAAACACGAUCAACUUUGGUGUUUAUGACGUCGAUAUUCGACGUCAUAAACACAAUCAACUUACGUGUUUAUGACAUCGAUAUUCGACGUCAUAAACACGAUUAACUUUGGUGUUUAUGACGUCGAUAUUCGACGUC
rnacentral:miRNA from 1 species